rnacentral:rRNA from 1 species
UACGUAGGUCCCGAGCGUUGUCCGGAUUUAUUGGGCGUAAAGCGAGCGCAGGUGGUUUAUUAAGUCUGAUGUGAAAGCCUUCGGCUUAACCGGAGUAGUGCAUUGGAAACUGGGAGACUUGAGUGCAGAAGAGGAGAGUGGAACUCCAUGUGUAGCGGUGAAAUGCGUAGAUAUAUGGAAGAACACCAGUGGCGAAAGCGGCUCUCUGGUCUGUGACUGACGCUGAGGUUCGAAAGCGUGGGUAGCAAACAGG